GAUGAACGCUAGCGGCAGGCUUAACACAUGCAAGUCGAGGGGUAACAGGGGUUGCUUGCAACCCGCUGACGACCGGCGCACGGGUGCGUAACGCGUAUGCAACCUACCUUCUACAGGGGGAUAGUCAAUAGAAAUGUUGAAUAAUACCCCAUACGAUCAUUAAUCUGCAUGGAUUGAUGAGGAAAGUUCCGGCGGUAGAAGAUGGGCAUGCGUCCUAUUAGUUAGUUGGUAAGGUAACGGCUUACCAAGACAUCGAUAGGUAGGGGUCCUGAGAGGGAGAUCCCCCACACUGGUACUGAGACACGGACCAGACUCCUACGGGAGGCAGCAGUGAGGAAUAUUGGACAAUGGAGGCAACUCUGAUCCAGCCAUGCCGCGUGCAGGAAGACGGCCCUAUGGGUUGUAAACUGCUUUUAUACAGGAAGAAUAGUACCUACGUGUAGGUAUUUGACGGUACUGUACGAAUAAGGAUCGGCUAACUCCGU
rnacentral:rRNA from 1 species